rnacentral:rRNA from 1 species
UGAUUUCGUGGGUGGUGGUGCAUGGCCGUUCUUAGUUGGUGGAGUGAUUUGUCUGCUUAAUUGCGAUAACGAACGAGCACCUUAUCCUGCCAAAUAGCCCGCGCCGCCUCGGCGGCGUGCCGGCUUCUUGGAGGGACUAUCGGCUCAAGCCGAUGGAAGUUUGAGGCAAUAACAGGUCUGUGAUGCCCUAUAGAUGUUCUGGGCCGCACGCGCGCGACACUGACGGGGCCAGCGAGUACUCCUUGCCCGAGAGGGUUGGGUAAUCUUGUGAAACCCCGUCGUGCUGGGGAUAGAGCAUUGUAAUUGUUGCUCUUCAACGAGGAAUCCUAGUAAGCGCGAGUCAUCAGCUCGCGUUGAAUACGUCCCUGCCCUUUGUACACACCGCCCGUCGCUACUACCGAUCGAGCGGCUCAGUGAGGUCUUCGGACCGGACGCCGGUGGUCGGAAACGUCCGCCAGCGGCUGGAAAGUUGCCCAAACUCGGUCGCUUAGAGGAAGUAAAAGUCGUAACAAGGUCUCCGUUGGUGAAC